rnacentral:rRNA from 1 species
ACGUAGGAGGCGAGCGUUAUCCGGAUUCACUGGGCGUAAAGCGCGUGCAGGUGGCUUGGUAAGUUGGGCGUGAAAUCUCCCGGCUCAACUGGGAGAGGUCGUUCAAUACUACCAAGCUAGAGAGCAGAAGAGGAAGAUGGAAUUCCCGGUGUAGUGGUGAAAUGCGUAGAUAUCGGGAGGAACACCAGUGGCGAAGGCGGUCUUCUGGUCUGUUUCUGACACUCAGACGCGACAGCUAGGGUAGUAAACGGGAUUAGAGACCCCGGUAAUCCUAGCCGUAAACGAUGUGAACUUGGCGUUGGUGGGUUAAACUCCAUCAGUGCCGAAGCAAACGCGAUAAGUUCACCGCCUGGGGACUACGGCCGCAAGGUUA